GGAAGCGUGCCCGAAAACAAAGGACCUCCUUGAUAGGGAGACCCAUAGAGGUUCAAAUCCUCUCGCCUCCU
rnacentral:tRNA from 1 species